rnacentral:rRNA from 1 species
GAUGAACGCUGGCGGCGUGCCUAAUACAUGCAAGUCGAGCGAACGGACGAGAAGCUUGCUUCUCUGAUGUUAGCGGCGGACGGGUGAGUAACACGUGGAUAACCUACCUAUAAGACUGGGAUAACUUCGGGAAACCGGAGCUAAUACCGGAUAAUAUUUUGAACCGCAUGGUUCAAAAGUGAAAGACGGUCUUGCUGUCACUUAUAGAUGGAUCCGCGCUGCAUUAGCUAGUUGGUAAGGUAACGGCUUACCAAGGCAACGAUGCAUAGCCGACCUGAGAGGGUGAUCGGCCACACUGGAACUGAGACACGGUCCAGACUCCUACGGGAGGCAGCAGUAGGGAAUCUUCCGCAAUGGGCGAAAGCCUGACGGAGCAACGCCGCGUGAGUGAUGAAGGUCUUCGGAUCGUAAAACUCUGUUAUUAGGGAAGAACAUAUGUGUAAGUAACUGUGCACAUCUUGACGGUACCUAAUCAGAAAGCCACGGCUAACUACGUGCCAGCAGCCGCGGUAAUACGUAGGUGGCAAGCGUUAUCCGGAAUUAUUGGGCGUAAAGCGCGCGUAGGCGGUUUUUUAAGUCUGAUGUGAAAGCCCACGGCUCAACCGUGGAGGGUCAUUGGAAACUGGAAAACUUGAGUGCAGAAGAGGAAAGUGGAAUUCCAUGUGUAGCGGUGAAAUGCGCAGAGAUAUGGAGGAACACCAAUGGCGAAGGCGACUUUCUGGUCUGUAACUGACGCUGAUGUGCGAAAGCGUGGGGAUCAAACAGGAUUAGAUACCCUGGUAGUCCACGCCGUGAACGAUGAGUGCUAAGUGUUAGGGGGUUUCCGCCCCUUAGUGCUGCAGCUAACGCAUUAAGCACUCCGCCUGGGGAGUACGACCGCAAGGUUGAAACUCAAAGGAAUUGACGGGGACCCGCACAAGCGGUGGAGCAUGUGGUUUAAUUCGAAGCAACGCGAAGAACCUUACCAAAUCUUGACAUCCUUUGACAACUCUAGAGAUAGAGCUUUCCCCUUCGGGGGACAAAGUGACAGGUGGUGCAUGGUUGUCGUCAGCUCGUGUCGUGAGAUGUUGGGUUAAGUCCCGCAACGAGCGCAACCCUUAAGCUUAGUUGCCAUCAUUAAGUUGGGCACUCUAAGUUGACUGCCGGUGACAAACCGGAGGAAGGUGGGGAUGACGUCAAAUCAUCAUGCCCCUUAUGAUUUGGGCUACACACGUGCUACAAUGGACAAUACAAAGGGCAGCGAAACCGCGAGGUCAAGCAAAUCCCAUAAAGUUGUUCUCAGUUCGGAUUGUAGUCUGCAACUCGACUACAUGAAGCUGGAAUCGCUAGUAAUCGUAGAUCAGCAUGCUACGGUGAAUACGUUCCCGGGUCU